GUUCUCUUUCACAGAACAUACACUGAAAUUGGAGUGAUAUAAUGAAGAUUAGUAAAGCUUCUGUGUAAAGAUGACACAGAAAUUUGUGAAAUUUUCCAUAGUCUU
ensembl:snRNA U6 U6 spliceosomal RNA